UACGAGGGGGGCAAGCGUUGUUCGGAAUUAUUGGGCGUAAAGCGCACGUAGGCGGUUCGUUAUGUCGGAUGUGAAAGCCCUUGGCUUAACCGAGGAAGUGCAUCCGAAACUGGCGAGCUAGAGUACUAAAGAGGAUCGCGGAAUUCCCGGUGUAGAGGUGAAAUUCGUAGAUAUCGGGAGGAACACCGGUGGCGAAGGCGGCGAUCUGGGUAGAUACUGACGCUGAGGUGCGAAAGCGUGGGGAGCAAACAGG
rnacentral:rRNA from 1 species